rnacentral:misc_RNA from 1 species
UUUUCAUACAAAAACCAUAAUACUUCAGGGAGAUAGGUGAAACACGAGCUGUCUUAUAUAACGGUGCAUCAUCACUGGGAAUUCCACAUGAUUUUUCCACAGUGUACUGGUCAUGGUUUGCACCAAUAAAAAUCCCCUGACUACUGUAACCCCAACUUUUAUCAUCACUUAAAAAGAAGGUUGAUCCUCCAUCAGGUUGUGUAUCAGCUUGAUACUGAACUCCAUUAAUUAGCCCCCUCUCACCGCCACAGUUAAUAUACAAUUGAUCAUUCAAUGAUUUAUCAGUGGGGCAAUAGUAGUCACUUCUCUGCCAUGCCAUGCUCAGAUUUGCUGUUUCAGCACAGCAUGCAAAAGAGUUCACAUUUAGGGCUUUGCCUC